rnacentral:lncRNA from 1 species
AGUGUGCACGUGUGGAUGGCCGGUUCGUUUGUUUGUUUUGGACAAUGACUAUGGACAAUUAGGUUAUUUUUCGCAAAACCCCAGACACCCCAGGUCCCAUGGGCGGCUCGCUGGCAGAGAAAAAAAUGGUCUCUGUCGCUCUAGUCUGGUCUGGACAGAGCUGCUCCUCUGCUACACAUUGGCCUGGUAGUGGAGGAGGAGGAAGCUUUGCUGGUUCCCAAGAGAAAGUGACCUUCAUGGCCUAGAAAUCAAAAUAACCACGUCGGUGGCCAUCUUAGCCUUCACUGCAGCUGGCACGGAACACAACAAUGAACCAAUCCAUCAUGGGAUAGAGUCCUGCUGGUACAGCUCAGGGACGAAAGUAUCCAACUAUCCUACCUUAUAUCCUGGCCUAUGUCCUCCUGGUUUUGACCCUUUCCUGUUUCUGGACUCUGUACCCGCCUGCCUGACCAUUCUACCUGCCUUGACCACGAGCCUGUCUGCCACGCUGUACCUCCUGGACUCUGAUCUGGUUCUCACCUUUUGCCUGUCCAUGACCGUUCUCUUGCCUACCCCUUUUGGAUUAUUAAACAUCUUAAUCUCCAACCAUCUGCCUCCUGUGUCUGCUUCUGGGUCUCGCCUUGUGUCAUGAUAAUCCUAGCCUAUGGUAAACUAUCCUAACUUAUUAUAUAUCCUACCUUAUAUCCUGGCCUAUGGUAAACUAUCCUAACUUAUUAUAUAUCCAACCUUAUAUCCUGUCCUAUGGUAAACUAUCCUAACUUAUUAUAUAUCCUACCUUAUAUCCUGGCCUAUGGUAAACUAUCCUAACUUAU